rnacentral:rRNA from 1 species
AUGAUACAUCAAAUGGCAAAUGUUAGUAUUAGUCUAUUAGAGAGUAGAGACCAGGGUUCCCUUCACUCACCCAUGGACAAUUGGCUACCGGCGGUGGCGCUCCCAAACGCCAUGCUCCCUGACAGCAAGCAACGAUCACAACAGCAGCACCAGCAUUCAAGUGAGCGGCAGCUCAACAGCAAAGCAGCAGCAACUCAACGUCAAGAAAUCGAGCAAAGACAUGAGGAGGUCGAGGAGAGGCUGCUUGGUUUCCCGCUCGAGCGUGUUUGUUGUCGGAGGCCGAGUUCAGGCCCGGCGGUGGCAGCAGGCGGCGGCGGAGUCCGGCAGUAG